rnacentral:rRNA from 1 species
GAUGAACGCUGGCGGCGUGCCUAAUACAUGCAAGUCGAGCGAACAGAUAAGGAGCUUGCUCCUUUGACGUUAGCGGCGGACGGGUGAGUAACACGUGGGUAACCUACCUAUAAGACUGGAAUAACUCCGGGAAACCGGGGCUAAUGCCGGAUAACAUUUAGAACCGCAUGGUUCUAAAGUGAAAGAUGGUUUUGCUAUCACUUAUAGAUGGACCCGCGCCGUAUUAGCUAGUUGGUAAGGUAACGGCUUACCAAGGCAACGAUACGUAGCCGACCUGAGAGGGUGAUCGGCCACACUGGAACUGAGACACGGUCCAGACUCCUACGGGAGGCAGCAGUAGGGAAUCUUCCGCAAUGGGCCAAAACCUGACGGAGCAACGCCGCGUGAGUGAUGAAGGUCUUCGGAUCGUAAAACUCUGUUAUUAGGGAAGAACAAAUGUGUAAGUAACUGUGCACGUCUUGACGGUACCUAAUCAGAAAGCCACGGCUAACUACGUG